AUUGAACGCUGGCGGCAUGCCUUACACAUGCAAGUCGAACGGUAACAGGGAACUUGCUCGGCUGACGAGUGGCGAACGGGUGAGUAAUGUAUCGGAACGUAGCUUUUAGUGGGGGAUAACGUAGCGACUGUUACGCAAAUACCGCAUAAUCUCUGAGGACGAAAGCAGGGGAGCUUCGGGCCUCGCGCUAAUAGAGCGGCGGAUAUCCGAGUAGCUAGUUGGUGAGGUAAAGGCUCACCAAGGCCACGAUCUGUAGCUGGUCUGAGAGGAUGAUCCGCCACACUGGAACUGAGACACGGUCCAGACCCCUACGGGAGGCAGCAGUGGGGAAUUUUGGACAAUGGGGGCAACCCCGAUCCAGCCAUGCCGCGUGUGUGAAGAAGGCCUUCGGGUUGUAAAGCUCUUUCGGCCGGGAAAAAAUCGCAUGGGUUAAUACCCUGUGUGGAUGAUGGUACCGGAAUAAUAAGCACCGGCUAACUACGUGCCAGCCGCCGCGGUAA
rnacentral:rRNA from 1 species